rnacentral:lncRNA from 1 species
CCCCCCCCCCAAACUCCAUUUUCUCUCCGCCCAAAUCACAAAUUAUGACCCAUCUGUUAUCGACCCAAAAGCCCUAAUCUGAAAUUGUGACUCCAUCAGGUAUGUGCUCAAAUCUCAAAUUCAAUCCUUUUUCAGUGGUUUAUACAGUUAGCGAGAAUGAUGAUUUCAACAAUUUUACAUAUGAUAUCGCAGGAUUUGCGCAAGUCUUGGCUAGGGUAAGUCGAUUUAACUUCUGCCAUAUUUCUUGGCUGCUUGUGAACAAUGAAAAGGGGGAUCCAUGUGUGUGAUUUCAGAAGAAGCAAUCACCCAGUUUGAAGCAUUAAUGGAGCAAGGUAACACUACUCUAUUGAUCUUUUCUUUAACAAUGAUGACUUGUUGUUUUGCUGCUUCCUGACAUUCAUAUUUGGAAAUUCUGAGCAGUUGAUGAAGCACUCGAAACUACUUUUCAGGUUUGCAUUUGUACCAUUUUCUAAUUUCCUCGUUUUAUAUGAAUUUAUAGUUUCUUUACUUUCUUGUCAUGCUUUGUAUGCUUUUAUUUAAAGUAAUUUAUCCUAAAUUCUUAUUUUUUGGGGCAAUUGACCUGCUGCCUAGAGUUGACAUAAAGUUGAAAAAUGUAAAGUAAUACAGGGUGAAAGCACUGAAGCAUGGGUGGAACCAUGUCAGUUAUUUGAAUCAAGGAACACAAGAAGAAGUUAAGUAGCUAGGCAAUUAAACAAAUUAAAAGAUGAAAAUGGUGAAACUAAAACAGAACUUCUGAACAUAUGCUACCACUCAAUAUAUCCCUAUUCGACGCACACAAAUCAUAGUGGCAAUUGGUACUUAAAAGUGUUGUCAUAACCUGUAGUUCUCAACGUUCUAAACAUAUGGGUAAUAAAAAAAAAUUAAGAAUAGUGAUCCAAGAUGUUGAAGUUCGUUACUUAUUUCAAGUUUAUUAUCUCCAACUAAAUGCUUCAUUCUGAAACACAUAUCACCCGUACCUUACAUAAACAUACUUCUCACAAUCACAUCGCUCAUAGGAACAAUCCCAUUAAGGUGGAAACAGUGGCAAAUCACGUAUAUAGACUAAACAAUGACCUUAUUUUAUUCCAUACUAGGAAUGGCAACAAGAGGAACAACCUUCCUCACGUUAACUCCAAACUAUUCCUCCAUGUCCAGUUUCUCCGGUGCCAUCCCAUCAGGUAGCUUCCAACUAAAUGGUUGAAUAAUAGAAGCCAACAUCAAA